UAACGCGUGAGUAACCUGCCCAUAAGAGGGGGAUAAUCCUUGGAAACGAGGACUAAUACCGCAUAUUGAAAUUUUAUGGCAUCAUAGAAUUUUGAAAAUUUAUCGCUUAUGGAUGGACUCGCGUCAGAUUAGCUGGUUGGUGAGGUAACGGCUCACCAAGGCGACGAUCUGUAGCCGAACUGAGAGGUUGAUCGGCCGCAUUGGGACUGAGACACGGCCCAGACUCCUACGGGAGGCAGCAGUGGGGAAUAUUGCGCAAUGGGGGCAACCCUGACGCAGCAACGCCGCGUGCAGGAAGAAGGUCUUCGGAUUGUAAACUGUUGUCGCAGGGGAAGAAGACAGUGACGGUACCCUGUGAGAAAGUCACGGCUAACUACGUGCCAGCAGCCGCGGUAAUACGUAGGUGACAAGCGUUGUCCGGAUUUACUGGGUGUAAAGGGCGCGUAGGCGGGAUAGCAAGUCAGUCGUGAAAUGCCGAGGCUUAACCUCGGAGCUGCGAUUGAAACUGUUAUUCUUGAGUAUCGGAGAGGAAAGCGGAAUUCCUAGUGUAGCGGUGAAAUGCGUAGAUAUUAGGAGGAACACCAGUGGCGAAGGCGGCUUUCUGGACGACAACUGACGCUGAGGCGCGAAAGUGUGGGGAGCAAACAGGAUUAGAUACCCUGGUAGU
rnacentral:rRNA from 1 species